rnacentral:rRNA from 1 species
GACGAACGCUGGCGGCGUGCCUAAUACAUGCAAGUCGAACGGAGUGGCGCACGGGUGAGUAAUAUAUAGCUAAUCUGCCCCUUGCUGGAGGACAACAGUUAGAAAUGACUGCUAAUACUCCAUAGCAAGGGAUGAGACUAUAUCGUAUCAGCUAGUCGGUGGGGUAACGGCCUACCGAGGCUAUGACGCGUAACUGGUCUGAGAGGAUGAUCAGUAACCUUGGAACUGAGACACGGUGCGAGCUCCUACGGGAGGCAGCAGUAGGCAGUAGUGCGAAAUGGGGGAGACCCUGACGCGGCAACGCCGCGUGGAGGAUGAGACUUUGCGGAGCGUAAACUCGUUUUGUUAGGGAAGCGGUACCUGACGAAUAAGCACCGGCUAACUCCGUGCCAGCAGCCGCGGUAAUUC